rnacentral:rRNA from 1 species
UACGUAGGGUGCUAGCGUUGUUCGGAAUCAUUGGGCGUAAAGCGCGUGCAGGCUGUUAGUUAAGUCGGGUGUGAAAUCCCUCGGCUCAACCGAGGAAGUGCAUCCGAAACUAACUAGCUAGAGAAUGGUAGAGGAAGGUGGAAUUCCUAGUGUAGAGGUGAAAUUCGUAGAUAUCAGGAGGAACACCGGUGGCGAAGGCGGCUAUCUGGACGGUCACUGACGCUGAGAUGCGAAAGCGUGGGAGCAAACAGG